rnacentral:lncRNA from 1 species
UCAGAUUUCAUGCACUUGAGACCCUCGAUCUUCAUUAAACUUCUAAACAAUAUUUUAGACUUCCUCAAUAUUCAUGGAACCUUUGCCUUUUGAAACUCAUGGAACCUAUUAAGUAGCGGGAAAGCAUACUUAAUAUAUAACUAUUUAUUCAUGUAUAGUUUAAUUUACAAAUUAUAUAUCAUAUUUUGGACUAAUUUCUUUUCCUUCAAAAAAUUUAUAAAAAUCAAAUUUCUCUUUACUCAUGCAAAUUUGAAAUUUAUAGCUAUUUAUAUGAUUAUUGAGGUGUCUGCAUCUCAACAAUCAAAGUCUCGCACACACCACUUCAAUGAGAACAGUGAUAAGAAAUUCUGGUAUUUAAGACAUAUCAUGCUAUUUUUGUUUUUUUAGUGAAUCUUUCAGGCAGUAGACCUGAAUGCGGUAGACAGUGAUAAGAAAUUCUGGUAUUUAAGACAUAUCAUGCUAUUUUUGUUUUUUUAGUGAAUCUUUCAGGCAGUAGACCUGAAUGCGGUAGACAGUGAUAAGAAAUUUGGGUAUUUUGUCAAAAACGGUCUACUGGCUGUUUUAAGAUCAUUUUCGCAGCAUCUGCAAAACCUCUGACCUUCCAACUAAUCAUAAUUAUACUCUGUUUAGAUACACAUAGUUCAUAUUUCAUCAACUGUGGCUAGACAUGUCUAUAUAUACAUGAUCAUUUAAUUCAAAAAUGAUUUGUAGCUUGAAGAACCAUAUUACUACUUUUGUAGCUUACCAGAAAGAAAACAUAUAAUGGCUCAUCCCAUCCACCAAGUAAACAAGAACAGGCCUUAUGAAGACUUGACAAGAGAACAAUUUCAUGAGAAACACAAGAUUGUAGUUUUAUUAGAUUUGUAGGCAGACUUAUUGAAUUGUAUUUUCCAUUCAGGCUUUUAAAUGAUUUAUAAUAAUUUUUUAGCAUUCGCAUACAUUUUUAUUUUAUAUGUUAUAGCUCAGUAAAAUUGUGAGGUAUGCAAUUUGAGGUCAAAACACAGAGUACCAGAAUUUAAG